rnacentral:rRNA from 1 species
UACGAAGGGGGCUAGCGUUGCUCGGAAUGACUGGGCGUAAAGGGCGCGUAGGCGGCUUGCACCGUCAGAUGUGAAAUUCCUGGGCUUAACCUGGGGGCUGCAUUUGAUACGUGUGGGCUUGAGUGCGGAAGAGGGUCGUGGAAUUCCCAGUGUAGAGGUGAAAUUCGUAGAUAUUCGGAAGAACACCAGUGGCGAAGGCGGCUCACUGGACCGGCAUUGACGCUGAGACGCGAAAGCGUGGGGAGCAAACAGG